AGCAUAUCAUAAGCGGAGGAAAAGAAACUAACAAGGAUUCCCUCAGUAACGGCGAGUGAAGCGGGAAGAGCUCAAAUUUAAAAUCUGGUUUACUUGUAAAUCCGAGUUGUAGUCUGAAGAAACGUUUUCCAUAAGCACUGAGGCAAAAGUCCCUUGGAACAGGGCAUCAUAGAGGGUGAGAAUCCCGUCCAUGGUCUCAAGUUGUUUAUUUUGUGAUACGUUUUCAAAGAGUCAGGUUGUUUGGGAAUGCAGCCUAAAAUGGGUGGUAAAUUUCAUCUAAAGCUAAAUAUUGGCGAGAGACCGAUAGCGAACAAGUACCGUGAGGGAAAGAUGAAAAGAACUUUGAAAAGAGAGUUAAACAGUACGUGAAAUUGUUGAAAGGGAACCGUUUGAAGCCAGUCUUACUUGCUCGUGAUCAAUUUUUGCUUCGGCAUGAAUGCACUCUCGGGUAUGGUAGGCCAACGACAGUUUAGAAUGCGAGAAAAAAAUUUGGGAAAUGUGGCCUUCGGGUGUUAUAGUCCCUUAUAAAAUAUCGUGUUCUGGACUGAGGAUCGCAGCAAAAAUGUGGGCAGGUGGAUUUCUGUGGUGACUGUCGGUUAGGACAACUUGUUGACCUAGUCUUCCUUAGCCUCACUAUUUACCUUGCUUCUAAUUUGCUUAGGUCGUUGGCAUAAUGGCUUUAAAUGACCCGUCUUGAAACACGGACCAAGGAGUCUAACAUAUAUGCGAGUAUUUGGGUGACAAACCCAUAUGCGCAAUGAAAGUGAAAUUAGGUGCCAAACCUUCACGGGUGGCAGCAUCGGCCGGCUCUGACGUUUUAACUGACGAGUCUGAGCAGAAGCAUACAUGUUGGGACCCGAAAGAUGGUGAACUAUGCCUGAAUAGGGUGAAGCCAGAGGAAACUCUGGUGGAGGCUCGUAGCGAUUCUGACGUGCAAAUCGAUCGUCAAAUUUGGGUAUAGGGGCGAAAGACUAAUCGAACCAUCUAGUAGCUGGUUCCUGCGA
rnacentral:rRNA from 1 species